ACUUGGAAGUGUAUAAAACAAGCUAUAAUUAUGAAUAAAUUAUCAUAAAGGAAGUAAACAAUUAAUCACAUUGAAACCUUCUCACUGUCAAGAAAUAAUUCGAGAUGACACUAAUAGAGAUAAUAAAACUCAUUAGAGUUCUCCUGAUUUGCUUCCUGGCUGGCUUCAGCACUGCACAAUAUUCAGUGAGUGUGGAGAGACCAUGUCCAAUGAAAACAGUCACUUUCACCUGCACUGCUCCUGGAGAUUCCAUGAGAUGGGUACCAUCAGAUGCAACUCCUAUCACUAUCAUCUCUACUCCCUCUGGUCUCAAUGUACCCAAUGUUGUAUCAGGUUACACCGUAACACUGAUUGCAUUCAAUGACACUACAUUAACAUCUACUCUGUCAAGAACAGCAGAGAAUGGGAUCACUGUGUUCUGUGUGGACCCACUGCCUAUUUUAACCAAUAUAGCAUCUUCAACGAUCCGGUUGGUUGAUCCACCAGGACCACCUUCCACCAUCAGACACUCUAUUCUGAGCAGCUCAUGAUCAUCCAAUGAAGCUAGUGUAUCUGUACAGUGGGACCCUCUACUGAAACUGGUGGUAGAGAUGACCUCACCUACACAGUGACCAUCUCACUUCUGGCUCAGCUCUCUACUACUGUCCUCACAUCCACCUCUGUCACUGUGACUGCUCAAUACAAUGUGUACUACACUAUCAGUGUUGUGGCUACCAACUGUGCUGGGAACAGUACAACAGCUGAGUACAACUUUAGGAUCGUGCAGGCAACUGUCCUGUGUUGACCAACCCCAUGAAUGGAGCCUUUGGACCAGUCUCCAGCAGAUUAUCAGGAUCAACAGUAACCAUCCAGUGUGACGCUGGGUAUAAUUAUGUCUGCUGUUACGAUGGUGACAUGUGAGGGUACACUGAUGUGGAGUCCAGACCCUGAGGCUAUUGAUUGUACAUCACUAAUUAUAACCAUACCUACUCUUACAACUCCUGCUCCUCCAAUGAACUGCAAGGCUCCAUUAUCCCCACCAAGGAAUGGCACCAUCAAUGAUCAUUCAGUACCAGCUUUUUCCGGUACACAAGUGAAAUUCCAGUGUGAUGUUGGACUGUUCCCUGAGGGCAUAAUGACUGCCACCUGUCUAGCUACAGGAGAGUGGGACAAAAACCCAAUGGAGACAGUCU